GCAGUCAUGGCCGAGUGGUGAAGGCGAUAGACUAGAAAUCCAUUAGGGUCUACCCGCACAGGUUCGAAUCCUGUGGACUGAG
rnacentral:tRNA from 1 species